UACGUAGGGCGCAAGCGUUGUCCGGAAUUAUUGGGCGUAAAGGGCUCGUAGGCGGCUUGUCACGUCGGGUGUGAAAGCCCGGGGCUUAACCCCGGGUCUGCAUUCGAUACGGGCUAGCUAGAGUGUGGUAGGGGAGAUCGGAAUUCCUGGUGUAGCGGUGAAAUGCGCAGAUAUCAGGAGGAACACCGGUGGCGAAGGCGGAUCUCUGGGCCGAUACUGACGCUGAGGAGCGAAAGCGUGGGGAGCGAACAGG
rnacentral:rRNA from 1 species